GAUGAACGCUGGCGGCGUGCCUAAUACAUGCAAGUCGAGCGAACAGAUGAGGAGCUUGCUCCUCUGACGUUAGCGGCGGACGGGUGAGUAACACGUGGAUAACCUACCUAUAAGACUGGGAUAACUUCGGGAAACCGGAGCUAAUACCGGAUAAUAUAUUGAACCGCAUGGUUCAAUAGUGAAAUACGGUUUUGCUGUCACUUAUAGAUGGAUCCGCGCCGCAUUAGCUAGUUGGUAAGGUAACGGCUUACCAAGGCAACGAUGCGUAGCCGACCUGAGAGGGUGAUCGGCCACACUGGAACUGAAACACGGUCCAGACUCCUACGGGAGGCAGCAGUAGGGAAUCUGCCGCAAUGGGCGAAAGCCUGACGGAGCAACGCCGCGUGAGUGAUGAAGGUCUUCGGAUCGUAAAACUCUGUUAUUAGGGAAGAACAAAUGUGUAAGUAACUAUGCACGUCUUGACGGUACCUAAUCAGAAAGCCACGGCUAACUACGUG
rnacentral:rRNA from 1 species